rnacentral:rRNA from 1 species
UACGAAGGGCUAGCGUUGCUCGGAAUCACUGGGCGUAAAGGGUGCGUAGGCGGGUCUUUAAGUCAGGGUGAAAUCCUGGAGCUCAACUCCAGAACUGCCUUUGAUACUGAAGAUCUUGAGUUCGGGAGAGGUGAGUGGAACUGCGAGUGUAGAGGUGAAAUUCGUAGAUAUUCGCAAGAACACCAGUGGCGAAGGCGGCUCACUGGCCCGAUACUGACGCUGAGGCACGAAAGCGUGGGGAGCAAACAGG